rnacentral:lncRNA from 1 species
UGGCUAAGGUGGCACGACCCCGCAACAAGAGGUAAUAAUAUGAAUGAUCGCAAGCACAACACUAUAUUUAGUAAUGACAAGUAAUAAGAAAAGACAAGUUGGCUUUUGCAUUAGUUAAUAUUCAUGUGAAAUAAAAGAUAUUUUGCUUUCAUAUUAUCAUAUUCAGGAUGACACUUUCUUCUUCUAGAUGAUUUCUACUUGAUCGC